rnacentral:rRNA from 1 species
GAUUGGCUCAGGACGAACGCUGGCGGCGCGCCUAACACAUGCAAGUCGAACGAGCGAGAGAGAGCUUGCUUUCUCGAGCGAGUGGCGAACGGGUGAGUAACGCGUGAGGAACCUGCCUCAAAGAGGGGGACAACAGUUGGAAACGACUGCUAAUACCGCAUAAGCCCACAGCUCGGCAUCGAGCAGAGGGAAAAGGAGCAAUCCGCUUUGAGAUGGCCUCGCGUCCGAUUAG